CGCGGCAGUCGGCGCAGGCGCACUUCCAGGCAGGUCGGAGAGCGGUCUGCGCUCCGGGUUGGCUGUUCCGUUGCUCCCUGCCGCCGCAUCCUUCUUUGCAAGCUCUGGUGGUGACUUCCUCUGCUUUCUCCAAGGCCAGUCUCAUAGACGCGAUAUCGAUUUCUGGUUUCCGAGGGAACCUUCGGAUUCGGCAGGUCCAUAGUCCUCCUCUAGGUUUCCUGCAGCUUCCAUCGAAAUACAGAACCUACAUCAUUGCCCUGAAACGACUAAACUAAUUGCUUAGCUAACCUAGUGCGGCGACCCAUCCAACAGAAGUAAAAUACCAGAACCCUUGGUGCCAGUAAAGCACUGGGUGCAGAGUCUGACACAUGGUAGGUUUUAAUAAACUAUUUACGUCAGUAAAUUUGUCAA